UACCAGACCUUUUCUCCUUAAACUAUAAAUUGAAUUAAUUAAUGCAGGAAAAAUUAUUUUACUUUAUAUAAUUUAUGUAGACUACUUAAAUGAGCUUUUAAAAAAGUAAGUAUUAAAAUGAAUCAAUAUCAAUUUAACUGUGAUAUUAAGUUGUUGCCAGCCAUUAACAACUCAUACAAUUGACUAAUAAUCAAAUGUACUAUGCCUUCACUAUUUAUUAACCAGCCUAUGAUAUUAACAUGUCAGCUAGAAUGUGUCAUUUGGCCUUUUGUUUGGGUUCCUUGUAUGGACUCUGUGGAGUGGUCUUAAAAUUAGAAUUUGAGUUGGACUCUCUCUCUCUCUCUUUUUUAAAGAUGGAUAUAACAAUUCAAACGGGGGACUCACUUCUAGAAAUUCCAAAAUGUCACAAAUGCUGCAGUGAUUUUGACUACCAUCAAAGUGGUUCCCCCUAAAGCCAUGUGUGCCUGUCUACAUGGACAGCCAUUAUUCAUGGACUAUGUGAAAUGCAGGCAUUAUCCUGGCAGGAAGCUGAGCAGGUGUUCCUCAGUGGCCCUUCUUAUCACUCUAGUGAAGUCGAGGAAUUUGACAGAGCAGUUUCCAAAAGACAGAAGAAGGAAAAAAAUCACCUGCAGGAA